AUUGAACGCUGGCAGCAGGCCUAACACAUGCAAGUCGAGCGGAGCGGCGGACGGGUGAGGAAUGCCUAGGAAUCUGCCUGUGAGUGGGGGAUAACGUCCGGUACCGGGCGCUAAUACCGCAUCCUAUCAGCUGAGCCUAGGCCGGAUUAGCUAGUUGGUGGGGUAAAGGCCUACCAAGGCGACGACCCGUAACUGGUCCGAGAGGAUGAUCAGUCACACUGGAACUGAGACACGGUCCAGACUCCUACGGGAGGCAGCAGUGGGGAAUAUUGGACAAUGGGCGAAAGCCUGAUCCAGCCAUGCCGCGUGUGUGAAGAAGGUCUUCGGAUUGUAAAGCACUUUAAGUUGGGAGGCGUUACCAACAGAAUAAGCACCGGCUAACUUCGUGCCAGCAGCCGCGGUAAUUC
rnacentral:rRNA from 1 species